AUUGAACGCUGGCGGCAGGCCUAACACAUGCAAGUCGAGCGGAUGAAGGGAGCUUGCUCCUGGAUUCAGCGGCGGACGGGUGAGUAAUGCCUAGGAAUCUGCCUGGUAGUGGGGGAUAACGUCCGGAAACGGGCGCUAAUACCGCAUACGUCCUGAGGGAGAAAGUGGGGGAUCCUCGGACCUCACGCUAUCAGAUGAGCCUAGGUCGGAUUAGCUAGUUGGUGGGGUAAAGGCCUUCCAAGGCGACGAUCCGUAACUGGUCUGAGAGGAUGAUCAGUCACACUGGAACUGAGACACGGUCCAGACUCCUACGGGAGGCAGCAGUGGGGAAUAUUGGACAAUGGGCGAAAGCCUGAUCCAGCCAUGCCGCGUGUGUGAAGAAGGUCUUCGGAUUGUAAAGCACUUUAAGUUGGGAGGAAGGGCAGUAAGUUAAUACCUUGCUGUUUUGACGUUACCAACAGAAUAAGCACCGGCUAACUUCGUG
rnacentral:rRNA from 1 species